rnacentral:tRNA from 1 species
CGACGUGUAGUUCAGCAGCAGAACACCGGGCUACAUUCCCGGAGGGCGCAGGGGCAGCACCUGCCACGUCGG